CUGCCGUCAGAGGGGCCUGUCUCGCUCCCGCUCCCGCGGCACAGAGCCUCUGUUUUCCUCACUCCAGGCCUGGAGUGCCCUGCUUAACAGCUUGGAUUGAAGAGGCUUGUCUGGGGGGACUGAGACCUUGCAGAUCAUUCCAGAAACUGCCUCCAUCCAAGGCCAACAGCUUCAUCAGGCCGCUGGCCUGGGAGAAGCCCUAAUAGCAAUCAGAUGGCGCAAGUGGAAAAUCACGGCGCUCGGCGAGCAAGCUGGAAAUUGGCGGGCUGUGGUGCCUGGUGCCUGUGCUGCUCUGCAGGAGGAUGAGUCAGGAGCGUAGUGCCCAGACUGGGAGAGAUGUGCCUCUGUGGGCUUCUUGAAGGGAAACGAGAAACACAGCUGCCUCUGCACCUGCGCUGGGAGCUGCCCGCCUCCUGCUCGUCCUGCCCACGUGCAAACCUCACCGUGGAAGAGGGAGUCUCGCGCUGCUCCCCGCGUGACCCAGCUGGCCUCCUGGGGGCAGCCAGCUGGGGCCCAGCUGGAACACUUGUUUACAUGGGGAGGCCGGGGGAGGCUGAAUCCCGGCGAGUUCCAAGUGUAAUUGCAUUUGGACACUUAAAAGGAAUUGUGUGAAGUGGGCAGAGGCUCUUAAGUCCACCACCUUAUUUGGUGCUUCUGUUGCCUACGGUUGCUCUGCUGCUCCCUGGACAAGGGGGCGGGUGUGAACCAGUCCUUGCGGCCCUCUGCAGCCAGCACCAUCCUCAGUAAAGAUUGCAGCAGCCACAAGAAACUAAUCCAGGGGGAUGGCCAGGCCUGAUUAGCUGGGGUGGGGCUGGAGGCUCCUCUACAGAGAUGAUGCUUGCACUGAGACCUGAAGGAGAAGGAGAAGGAGGUGGCUGCUCACGCAA